CAGUCGCCGCGGUAAUACGAAGGGGGCUAGCGUUGCUCGGAAUCACUGGGCGUAAAGGGUGCGUAGGCGGGUCUUUAAGUCAGAGGUGAAAUCCUGGAGCUCAACUCCAGAACUGCCUUUGAUACUGAGGAUCUUGAGUUCGGGAGAGGUGAGUGGAACUGCGAGUGUAGAGGUGAAAUUCGUAGAUAUUCGCAAGAACACCAGUGGCGAAGGCGGCUCACUGGCCCGAUACUGACGCUGAGGCACGAAAGCGUGGGGAGCAAACAGGAUUAGAUACCCCAGUAGUCCCUGUCUCUUAUAC
rnacentral:rRNA from 1 species